rnacentral:rRNA from 1 species
GAUGAACGCUGGCGGCGUGCUUAACACAUGCAAGUCGAACGGAAAGGCCCCUGCUUGCAGGGGUACUCGAGUGGCGAACGGGUGAGUAACACGUGGAUGAUCUGCCCUGCACUUCGGGAUAAUCCUGGGAAACUGGGUCUAAUACCGGCUAGGACGAUGCUUUGGAUGCCAUUGUGGAAAGUUUUUUCGGUGUGGGAUGAGCUCGCGGCCUAUCAGCUUGUUGGUGGGGUAAUGGCCUACCAAGGCGUCGACGGGUAGCCGGCCUGAGAGGGUGUACGGCCACAUUGGGACUGAGGUACGGCCCAGACUCCUACGGGAGGCAGCAGUGGGGAAUAUUGCCCAAUGGUCGCAAGCCUGAUGCAGCGACGCCGCGUGGGGGAUGACGGCCUUCGGGUUGUAAACUCCUUUCGCUAGGGACGAAGCGCAAGUGACGGUACCUGGAGAAGAAGCACCGGCUAACUACGUG